GUUUGAUCCUGGCUCAGGAUGAACGCUAGCUACAGGCUUAACACAUGCAAGUCGAGGGGAAACGACAUCGAAAGCUUGCUUUUGAUGGGCGUCGACCGGCGCACGGGUGAGUAACGCGUAUCCAACCUGCCCAUCACUUGGGGAUAACCUUGCGAAAGUAAGACUAAUACCCAAUGAUAUCUCUAGAAGACAUCUGAAAGAGAUUAAAGAUUUAUCGGUGAUGGAUGGGGAUGCGUCUGAUUAGCUUGUUGGCGGGGUAACGGCCCACCAAGGCGACGAUCAGUAGGGGUUCUGAGAGGAAGGUCCCCCACAUUGGAACUGAGACACGGUCCAAACUCCUACGGGAGGCAGCAGUGAGGAAUAUUGGUCAAUGGACGAGAGUCUGAACCAGCCAAGUAGCGUGCAGGAUGACGGCCCUAUGGGUUGUAAACUGCUUUUAUAAGGGAAUAAAGUGAGCCUCGUGAGGCUUUUUGCAUGUACCUUAUGAAUAAGGACCGGCUAAUUCCGUGCCAGCAGCCGCGGUAAUACGGAAGGUCCGGGCGUUAUCCGGAUUUAUUGGGUUUAAAGGGAGCGUAGGCCGGAGAUUAAGCGUGUUGUGAAAUGUAGACGCUCAACGUCUGCACUGCAGCGCGAACUGG
rnacentral:rRNA from 1 species